rnacentral:rRNA from 1 species
CAGCCGCCGCGGGAAUACCGAGGGUGCAAGCGUUAAUCGGAUUUACUGGGCGUAAAGGGCGCGUAGGUGGUUGUUUAAGUGAGAUGUGAAAUCCCCGGGCUUAACCUGGGAACUGCAUCUUAUACUGGGUAACUGGAGUGCAGUAGAGGGUAGUGGAAUUUCCGGUGUAGCAGUGAAAUGCGUAGAUAUCGGAAGGAACACCAGUGGCGAAGGCGGCUACCUGGACUGAGACUGACACUGAGGCGCGAGAGCGUGGGGAGCAAACAGGAUUAGAUACCCCAGUAGUCCCUGUCUCUUAUAC